GUUGACCAGACGGCCGCCGUUUCGUUUAACCGCGGUAUGACACCGUGAAGUGAACGGGAGGGAGGAAAGUCCGAACUCCAAAGGGCAGUGCGCCGGGUAAUACCCGGGCAGGGCAACCUGACGGAAAGUGGCACAGAAAACAAACCGCCGACGGCAUGUCGGGUUGGGGUGCAACCACACCGCACUCGAACCCGGCAUGCCAGCUGGUAAGGGUGAAAAGGUGCGGUAAAAGCGCACCGCAUUUGUGGUAACACAGAUGGCAGGCUAAACCCCGCACGGAGCAAGAUCAAAUAGGGUGGCGUUAAUAGGACUGCUCGUCCAAGGCUACCGGGUAGGUCGCUUGAACCUGCGAGCAAUCGUAGGGCUAGAGGAAUGGUCGUCACGUCGGUUCGAUCUGAUGAGGGGAAACUCUUUUGGUAUCGACCGUUGACAGGAUUCGGCUUAUAGGUCAACUG
rnacentral:RNase_P_RNA from 1 species